AACGAACGCUGGCGGCAUGCCUAACACAUGCAAGUCGAACGAGACCUUCGGUUCUAGUGGCGCACGGGUGCGUAACGCGUGGGAACCUGCCCUUAGGUUCGGAAUAACUCCCCGAAAGGGGUGCUAAUACCGGAUAAUGUCUUCGGACCAAAGAUUUAUCGCCUUUGGAUGGGCCCGCGUUGGAUUAGCUAGUUGGUAGGGUAAAAGCCUACCAAGGCGACGAUCCAUAGCUGGUCUGAGAGGAUGAUCAGCCACACUGGGACUGAGACACGGCCCAGACUCCUACGGGAGGCAGCAGUGGGGAAUAUUGGACAAUGGGCGAAAGCCUGAUCCAGCAAUGCCGCGUGAGUGAUGAAGGACUUAGGGUUGUAAAGCUCUUUUACCCGGGAUGAUAAUGACAGUACCGGGAGAAUAAGCUCCGGCUAACUCCGUG
rnacentral:rRNA from 1 species